AAUACAGACAAAUCAAAAAAGCUAUAUAUACUAUUUACAGUUGUGCAUAUGUUGAUCAUGCUACAGCUGCACAUAUUUGGUAGUGUUGUAU